UGGGGAAUAUUGGACAAUGGGCGCAAGCCUGAUCCAGCCAUGCCGCGUGAGUGAUGAAGGCCCUAGGGUUGUAAAGCUCUUUCACCGGUGAAGAUAAUGACGGUAACCGGAGAAGAAGCCCCGGCUAACUUCGUGCCAGCAGCCGCGGUAAUACGAAGGGGGCUAGCGUUGUUCGGAAUUACUGGGCGUAAAGCGCACGUAGGCGGACAUUUAAGUCAGGGGUGAAAUCCCGGGGCUCAACCCCGGAACUGCCUUUGAUACUGGGUGUCUAGAGUUCGAGAGAGGUGAGUGGAAUUCCGAGUGUAGAGGUGAAAUUCGUAGAUAUUCGGAGGAACAACCAGUGGCGAAGGCGGCUCACUGGCUCGAUACUGACGCUGAGGUGCGAAAGCGUGGGGAGCAAAAGCAGGAUUAGAUACCCUGGUAGUCCACGCCGUAAACGAUGGAAGGCCAGCUGUCGGCAAGUUUACUUGUCGGUGGCGCAGCUACGCAUAAGCUUCCCGCCUGGGGAGUACGGUCGC
rnacentral:rRNA from 1 species